GAAUGGAAGAGAGGGAAAAGUAGAGCUAUAACCGCCCGAGGACAGGUCUUUAACUAAAGCAAGUUCUUGAUGAGGCAAAAGCUAUGAGAUGCUUCUUAAAAUAAGGAUCGUGGUCUUGGCCAACUAAUUUUGGGAAACAGACUGUCUCCGUUAAAGAAACGUACUGUCUGCUUGCAUUUUAGAAUUCCAAAGAAGUCCUAGAGUAAAGAGCAUAAUACCCUCUAGUUCCAUCCACGUCGCUGCAAAUGGAAGAUUUCGGGGUUUGAUGGCUGCAUAGUAUUCCACUGCAUAUAUACACCACAUCUUCUUUAUCCAUUCAUCUGUUGAUGGACAUUUAGGUUCUUUCC